rnacentral:rRNA from 1 species
GUGCCAGCAGCCGCGGUAAUACGUAGGGUUUGAGCGUUAAUCGGAAUUACUGGGCGUAAAGCGUGCGCAGGCGGUUGUGCAAGACAGAUGUGAAAUCCCCGGGCUCAACCUGGGAAUUGCAUUCGAGACUGAAUAGCUAGGGUGCGGCAGAGGGAAGCGGAAUUUCCGGUGUAGCGGUGAAAUGCGUAGAUAUCGGAAGGAACAUCAGUGGCGAAAGCGGCUUCCUGGACCAGCACCGACGUUCAGGCACGAAAGCGUGGGGAGCAAACAGGAUUGGACACCCUGGUAGUCCACGCCAUAAACGAUGAGGACUAGACGUUGGAUGGGUAAGCCUUCCAGUGUCGUAGCUAACGCGCUAAGUCCUCCGCCUGGGGAGUACGGCCGCAAGGUUGAAACUCAAAUGAAUUGACGG